rnacentral:lncRNA from 1 species
UACAAAUUCACUUGUUAACAUUUGGCGCCAUCUGUGGGAAUCACAGCAAAUAUCCAUGUCGUUCUCAGCACUCUCUUAUAGGUUUCAUCAUCUCUGCCAAGAACACAAAAAAACAACCCUGGUCUUGCGCCGUCCCUGAGCCCAUUAUCUCUUGGCUCUCCGAUCAAAACACAAUUUCCAAUCUUGACACUCUCGGUUCAGACCAAAAUAAGGGGCACAAACCUACUGUUUCUCUGAUUGGCUCAUCUCUCAUGGAGAAUACAAAGGGUGCUUAUGAAAAAUCACCUUCAUCUUAUCCCACAUAUGUCCCAUGGAGCAACAAAGAAGAAACUAAGCUUUCUUUUCGAUAGUCGCAACUCCAACAACAAACAACCAAAAGAAUGCGAGAGGAAUCAAAUACCAGAAAUUGAUCAAGGCACCCAUGUACCUUCUUCCUCAAAGAAACAAUGGAGAAGCAAUCGUCCACCCUCACCGUCAAUGACCGCCGUCUCCCUGGCAAAGCGGAAAACAAAAGACUUUCCUCAACCACAUGUUUGCUCAAGGCACACGUGCCCUCUUCUCUCUCAAAGAGACCAAGAGUCUCACCCCUCGUUGAAAAAUUUCUCUCUCAGCUCACACAGAUAGCAGCAACCAAAAGGAGAAGAGGAGAAGCAUAUCGGUUCGGCUCAACCGACCAC